rnacentral:lncRNA from 1 species
AUCAAAAAAAGAAAUUCAAUUUGUCCUUAAUCCAUUUUUAUAUGGUGUAAUUACUAGGCCACGUUUCUUUAUCACAAAAUGGAAAUAGUUUUUAAUCCCUUUACCCCAUUGAUUUAUUCUAGAAAUACAGCUAGAUCAAAGGUUAUUAUUCAGUUGUAACUUUAUAGUAAAUAUAUAACUCAUUAAUUGGAAAAAGGACAAGCUGAAAUUUGGGUGCCAUCUCCACUUGUUAGAAGGCCUCCAAGCAACUCUGCUGGGUCAUAGUAAAUCUCUACCUCUUCAACCUUCAAAGCAUCAUCCACCUAUGUUAAAAAAUAUUACUCAUUAGUCAUGAUAGUGAUAUACUUAUAUAUCAAAUCCCAAAAUUUAAAGGUGAUAAAAAGUUGUUUCUAUGUAAUGUAAGAAAUAAAAACUCAUAAUGUAGCGUAAAAUGGAUGAUAAUCAAAUAGUUAGAAUUAUAAAAGAGAUUUAAAAAAAAAUAUGAAAUCUAUUAUUGAGGGAUUUAGAUUUUGAUGGAAAAUCAUUAGAGAUGAUGAUUAACUUCAAGAGUAUCAUUAGACAUAAUUUGUCAAAUUUUUUUUUUUUGUGGUGGUCGGGGUUUGAACCCCGGACCUUGCAUAUAUUAUGCAUUGUCCCUACCAACUGAGUUAAGCUCACGAGAAUAUAAUUUGUAAACUAAUUAGACGUGUUAAGCUGACAAAAUUCAAAUCCUUUUGAAACAAAGUGUAAAAUAAUCAUUAAUACCAUUUUAAUUAGUGAUAAUUUGAUUAUUCUUCAAAUUAUUUAAAAGAUAUAAUUUGCAACAAUAUAUCAUAUAUCUCAUUUGCUCUUAAAAAAAAUGUAUGGUACAAACAUUUGUUUUAUAAUGAAAAAUUUGUUUUUAUAAGGAAUUGUUAAACUUUUGGGUUGUGUCAACAUUUGGAAUUCACAUAAUAAUAGAAACAUACAUAAAAUAAAUACCUUGAGAGUUCUUCAAAAAAAAAAAAAAAAAAUACCUUGAGAGUUCCUAGACCAAAGAAUUGGACCAUCUUUCCGGUAGGGGAAUGUCCCUUAAAAGGACCCUCAAAAAAUCCCCAAUGCCUAAACUUGAAAGCAAUUUCAGGUGGUCCUGUAUAAACUUUAAUCACUUCCCAUGCAAAUCCUCUUGGAAAAGCUGAUUUGAAGACUUCAUGAGAUGAUUCAAAAGUCUCUUCAUUUGACUUGUAUGGCUUGAAAUUUUCUGGUAGAGAACUUUUCAACAAUGCGUUGUAACUUCCUAAGCUUAGAGUUUCCUCUGCAGUUAAUCCAUCCCUGCCUACAGAUGGAAGAAUUUUGAUUAUAUUCACUAUUAAAAAAAAAUUAAUUACCGAGAAAAACGGAAUUAAUCUUCAAUUUUGACGUUUCUAACACAUGAUCAUGGAAUUAUAUGUGUUUUAUGGUUUUUAGUCUCUAACUUUUCAUCAUUAGUUCAAAAAAUUUCUUAAUAUUGUACUAUUUUUUCCCAAUAUAUGAAGCACAAUCAUACAAAAUUAAAUUAAGUAUUCAAUAACCUAUUUGGUCCCUUGAAAAAAACAUGUAUGAUCUCUAUUAGCUUCAGAUCUAAUGAAUCCCACCAAAAUUGAAGCAAUAGUGAAUAGGGCCAAAGUUGAUCAUCUUUGUAUUGUUCUAAUUUUAUUGGAAAUCUCCAAGCGACUAAAGUUGAGAUUUUGUAUGGAACUUUAUAAGUAAAGUUUAUGAUGAUGAUACAUGGUACAACAAAAAUACACAUAUGUAAAAAAAAAUUGAUCCAUUCGAAUUAUCAAUAAAAUAGUCUCUUAUAAAAAAAUCAAACAAAUAGUAAAGAAAAAAUCACAGCCUCAAUUAAUUCAUGAAAUCAAAAUAUCUAACAAAUUAUCUUAUGGAAAAAGAUGGAUACCAAACAAAUUUGAUACAUGUACUUAAUUACCAUUAACAAAGAGCUUAAACUUUUCAGGGACAAUAGUCUUGAAAUCUUGCAACCGGAUCUUGUGUGAGAGUUCCAUCUCCCAUGACUUAAUAGCAUUUUGAACUGUCUCCUCCAAUGAUCCUUCUGGCCAUACCUAAAAAAAUUGAUACAAAAUUGAGAAAGAUCAUGAUAUAAUUAAGAGGGAAGAGAAGGGAUAAGAUUAAGAGAGUGUGGUGGUUCACUUUGGUCCUUCCUUCUUCAAAGAGCUGGUUGACAAGACCAUAUGUGGGAGGGCCACCAUGUCUCCAAUGGAUGUUCUCAGCUUCAUCAUGCAAAAUAGAUCUGUACUUAUCUUUUGCAACCAUGUUAG